AGAGUUUGAUCCUGGCUCAGAUUGAACGCUGGCGGCGUGCCUAACACAUGCAAGUCGAGCGGUAACAGGUGUAGCAAUACAUGCUGACGAGCGGCGAACGGGUGAGUAACGCUUCGGAAUCUGCCCAAUGGUGGGGAAUAACCAGCCGAAAGGUUGGCUAAUACCGCAUACGCCCUACGGGGGAAAGCGGGGGAUCGUAAGACCUCGCGCCGAUGGAUGAGCCGAAGCCGGAUUAGCUAGUUGGUAGGGUAACGGCCUACCAAGGCGACGAUCCGUAGCUGGUCUGAGAGGACGACCAGCCACACUGGGACUGAGACACGGCCCAGACUCCUACGGGAGGCAGCAGUGGGGAAUAUUGGACAAUGGGGGAAACCCUGAUCCAGCGACGCCGCGUGUGUGAAGAAGGCCUGCGGGUUGUAAAGCACUUUUAGUGGGGAUGAAAAGCUCAGGGCUAAUAUCUCUGAGUCUUGACCUAACCCAAAGAAAAAGCACCGGCUAACUCUGUGCCAGCAGCCGCGGUAAUACAGAGGGUGCAAGCGUUAAUCGGAAUUACUGGGCGUAAAGCGUGCGUAGACGGUUAGAUAAGUCGGGUGUGAAAGCCCCGGGCUCAACCUGGGAAUUGCAUUCGAGACUGCCUAGCUAGGGUGCGGAAGAGGGAAGCGGAAUUUCCGGUGUAGCGGUGAAAUGCGUAGAUAUCGGAAGGAACACCAGUGGCGAAAGCGGCUUCCUGGUCCAGCACCGACGUUCAGGCACGAAAGCGUGGGGAGCAAACAGGAUAGAUACCCUGGUAGUCCACGCCAUAAACGAUGAGAACUAAACGUUGAGAGGGUAAGCCUCCCAGUGUCGUAGCUAACGCGCUUAAGUUCUCCGCCUGGGGAGUACGGCCGCAAGUUGAAACUCAAGGAUUUGACGGACCCGCACAAGCGGUGGACCAUGUGGGUUUAAUUCGAUGCAACGCAGAACUUACUUGCUUUGCAUCCCAGAAACCUUGAAAAAUUUCGGGUGCCCCAGGA
rnacentral:rRNA from 1 species